GGCGUGGACAGAACAGCGGCAGGGCGGGGAGAAAAGACAAGUCUGUACAGGGAGGAGCUAUCGCAGCAAGGUGCACGUCCAAAUGAUGUUGAUCGAAUGGUUCAACAAGGAUUUGCAAAGUGGUUUAUGUCCCAUGUUGAGAAGAAGCGUAAUGAGAAUCUAGAAUUGGUUAGCGAAGGACUGUGG